CUACUGGACUCUUGCUCUUUUCCACUGCUACAGACGGACUAACAUCACUACCCAUCUUGAUCUGUUCACAGUGGCCACCUUAACUACAGGUUCUUCGCAUCAUCACAUUAGCAGGACAUGACAUGCUAGCAAGAGGAUAAAAGAUCUUUAUAUGUG